GGAAUAUUGGACAAUGGGCGAAAGCCUGAUCCAGCCAUGCCGCGUGAAGGAUGAAGGCCUUCUGGGUUGUAAACUUCUUUUAUUGGGGAAGAAAAUUAUGGUUUCUACUAUAACCGACGGUACCCAAGGAAUCAGCACCGGCUAACUCCGUGCCAGCAGCCGCGGUAAUACGGAGGGUGCAAGCGUUAUCCGGAUUCACUGGGUUUAAAGGGUGUGUAGGCGGAUAUUUAAGUCAGUGGUGAAAUCUCCGGGCUCAACCCGGAAACUGCCAUUGAUACUAUUUAUCUUGAAUCUUGUUGAGGUAGGCGGAAUAUAUCAUGUAGCGGUGAAAUGCUUAGAUAUGAUAUAGAACACCGAUUGCGAAGGCAGCUUACUAAACAAGCAUUGACGCUGAGGCACGAAAGCGUGGGGAUC
rnacentral:rRNA from 1 species